rnacentral:lncRNA from 1 species
GUCAAGAAUAUCACAAAAAUAUGUCACAAUCAAGAUCUUUAACGAGAGUCCUCCAAUCAGGAGGCGUCUGUGACAGCCGCUGUUUUCUCAUAGAACAGAAUCCACACCCGGGACUCAACCCAAAUUAUUUCUCAUCAGGGGGGACUUGUCCCCAUCUCCGUGUCCCUGGGGGAGGGCAGCCAUUUCCGAGUGUCUCUUCAGGGACAGCAGAUCCACUGGACAAGGGUCCGAAAAUGGUUUCAGCACCUGUGUCAGAGCCGAACACAGCCGGCGCCAGGGUCCCGGGGAGAGAGGCAGCAGGAAGUGAGGCUGAGGGGCUGUCUGUGUUGCGCAGGGAGCCGGGCAGGGCUGUUUUCCAUGGCUGCCGGCCCUCUCCUUAGAUGAGUACACAGCUGCUUUUCACAGCGCUCAGCCUGCCCUCCUGGAGGGAGCAUUUGAGGAGAAAAUCCAUCUCAACAUCCACAUGUUGUGUGUGACUGGAACGCGGGGCAGGGCGAGGAAGACCAAAACUCCCCCACUUUCAGGAGGCGACUCCCCCUUCUCUGCUGGACAGGGGCGAGCAGGAAUCACGUUGACUUUGGAAGUUCACAGGGCAGUGGAUCAGGGCCACAGGAGGAACAAGAUGGUGCAGCUGCAGGCACUUCCGAGUGACAAGAGACAGGCGUGCCUUCCAGGUGAUCUGCGGGGCGCCCACUCACAGGGCUUGGCAAGGUCCUGCAGUCAUGGGGAACGUGAAUGUUCUGACCCAGGCCUUCUGUCACCGGCCCCGAGCCCACAUCGUUUCUGCAACAGCGUAACUGCCCAAUAAGUCAUCUGCUUACCAAUGUACCCCGAGCCAAAGACAGCAAUGGAAGGCCGUGCGGAAUCACUCCGGAAGAGGAACGUCGGUGGCCCUUUAAGCAGGAUGAAGUCGAUCCUACAGGCCACCCGGUUUGCCACGUGGCACAUGCUGUGCAAAGUGCUCCCCAUGACCUCGUUCAAUCCCUGCAGAGCCCCUGGCGGCCGUCAUGGUACGGUUGGCACCAGCAUGGACUCCAGAGCCCACUGCCUGGCCUAUAGUCCCAGUUCUGCCCUUAUUAGCGGUGGAACCUGGGCAGCAACUUAACCUCUCCGUGCCUCUGUUUCCUCACCCAUAAAAUAAGAAUAGUACUGGUACCUCUGCACAGGGCUGCUGCGAGAAUCAAGUGAGCUAGUAUCUGCUUAGAGAAAGCCUGUUAACAGUGCAUGCUUCCCAUGACUGCAGUAACAAAGUCCUGCAAAUUUAGAGGCUGAAAACAACACAAGUUUUGGAAGCUAGAAGUCCAACAUGCAUCUCCCUGGGCUAGAAUCAAGGUGUGGGCAGGGCCAGUUCCUCCGAGAGCUCCAGAGGAGGAUCCCUUU